UAGGGAAUCUUCCGCAAUGGACGAAAGUCUGACGGAGCAACGCCGCGUGAGYGAAGAAGGUCUUCGGAUCGUAAAGCUCUGUUGUUAGGGAAGAACAAGUAUCGGAGGAAAUGCCGGUACCUUGACGGUACCUGACGAGAAAGCCACGGCUAACUACGUGCCAGCAGCCGCGGUAAUACGUAGGUGGCAAGCGUUGUCCGGAWUUAUUGGGCGUAAAGCGCGCGCAGGCGGUCCUUUAAGUCUGAUGUGAAAUCUUGCGGCUCAACCGCAAGCGGUCAUUGGAAACUGGGGGACUUGAGUGCAGAAGAGGAAAGCGGAAUUCCACGUGUAGCGGUGAAAUGCGUAGAGAUGUGGAGGAACACCAGUGGCGAAGGCGGCUUUCUGGUCUGUAACUGACGCUGAGGCGCGAAAGCGUGGGGAGCAAACAGGAUUAGAUACCCUGGUAGUCCACGCCGUAAACGAUGAGUGCUAAGUGUUGGAGGGUUUCCGCCCUUCAGUGCUGCAGCUAACGC
rnacentral:rRNA from 1 species